AAUAGAUGAGCUUAGAGAUACGCUGUUUCAUUUAGUUUAAACUCCAAAUCCAAAAGGAACAAAUUAUUCUUACCUCAAGAUGCAUCAGACGGGCAAUGGCGAUGCAUAUCUUUUCAAUUUUAAAAUGGUAUAGUUUUAUAUAAAUUUCACAGUAGUAACAACACCAAUCCCCGACGAGCUGCGGAAUUGCACUAAGCUUACAAUCAUUGAAACUUAGCCACAAUAACUUGAGUGGAGAGUUGCUGAUGACCAUUGGUAAUCCGGAGGACCUGCAGAUUGUGUUGGAUGUCACUGACAACAAACUCACUGGCAGGCUACCCGCGCAGCUCGGGAACUUGGCAAUGUUGGAACUCCUGAACCUCUCCCACAACCAAUUUGAUGGGAGCAUUCCAUCCCCCUUUGCUAGCAUGGUUAGCCUGACAGCACUUGAUGUCUCAUACAACAACUUGGAAGGGCCUCUUCCAGUACGACGGCUAUUCCGUGAUGCAUCGAUAGCAUGGUUCCUCCACAAUAAAGGUCUGUGGUAUUGGUAAUCUCUUCACAAGAGGAAACGGCCACAAAAGGACAUCACCUGUUAUGAAAUUCUGAGUACAAAAUACUAAAAAUGUCAGCAUAAGCUGUAGCAAACGGCAAACCAACACCCCAGGUGUUCAAAUACUGAUGACGAAGUCACUUCCUGACAAUAGAGCUCCGAGAGUUUACAGCUGUCUCUACUGGAACUAACACUGGGCA